rnacentral:rRNA from 1 species
UACGUAGGGUGCAAGCGUUAAUCGGAAUUACUGGGCGUAAAGCGUGCGCAGGCGGUUAUGUAAGACAGGUGUGAAAUCCCCGGGCUUAACCUGGGAACUGCAUUUGUGACUGCAUAGCUAGAGUGCGGUAGAGGGGGAUGGAAUUCCGCGUGUAGCAGUGAAAUGCGUAGAUAUGCGGAGGAACACCGAUGGCGAAGGCAAUCCCCUGGACCUGUACUGACGCUCAUGCACGAAAGCGUGGGGAGCAAACAGG